rnacentral:rRNA from 1 species
AGUGAACGCUGGCGGCAGGCCUAACACAUGCAAGUCGAGCGGCAGCGCGUCCGACCACCCUCGGGUGGUCGGAUGGCGGCGAGCGGCGGACGGGUGAGGAAUGCAUCGGAAUCUGCCUCGUUGUGGGGGAUAACGUAGGGAAACUUACGCUAAUACCGCAUACGACCUACGGGUGAAAGUGGGGGACCUUCGGGCCUCACGCGAUGAGAUGAGCCGAUGCCGGAUUAGCUAGUUGGCGGGGUAAAGGCCCACCAAGGCGACGAUCCGUAGCUGGUCUGAGAGGAUGAUCAGCCACACUGGAACUGAGACACGGUCCAGACUCCUACGGGAGGCAGCAGUGGGGAAUAUUGGACAAUGGGCGUAAGCCUGAUCCAGCAAUGCCGCGUGUGUGAAGAAGGCCUCGGUUGUAAGCACUUUAUCAGAACGAAAGACGUAGGAUUAAUAACUCUGACGUGCUGACGGUACCUGAGGAAUAAGCACCGGC